rnacentral:sRNA from 1 species
GCAGUAUGGUUUGAAGUGGUGAACAUGGAUUUUUCUCGGCUUCACAUGUACAGUCCUCCCCAGUGUGUGCCGGAGAACACGGGCUACACGUAUGCGCUCAGUUCCAGCUAUUCUUCAGAUGCUCUGGAUUUUGAGACGGAGCACAAAUUGGACCCUGUAUUUGAUUCUCCACGGAUGUCCCGCCGUAGUUUGCGCCUGGCCACGACAGCAUGCACCCUGGGGGAUGGUGAGGCUGUGGGUGCCAACAGCGGCACCAGCAGCGCUGUCUCCCUGAAGAACCGAGCGGCCAGAACAGCAAAACAGCGCAGAAGCACAAACAAAUCAGCUUUUAGUAUCAACCACGUGUCAAGGCAGGUCACAUCCUCUGGCGUCAGCCAUGGCGGCACUGUCAGCCUGCAGGAUGCUGUGACUCGACGGCCUCCUGUAUUGGACGAGUCUUGGAUUCGUGAACAGACUACAGUGGACCACUUCUGGGGUCUUGAUGAUGAUGGUGAUCUUAAAGGUGGAAAUAAAGCUGCCAUUCAGGGAAACGGGGAUGUGGGAGCCGCCGCCGCCGCCUCCGCGCACAACGGCUUCUCCUGCAGCAACUGCAGCAUGCUGUCCGAGCGCAAGGACGUGCUCACGGCGCACCCCGCGGCCCCCGGGCCCGUGUCGAGAGUUUAUUCUAGGGACAGGAAUCAAAAAUGCGGUGCGUCUUUCUACGUGAAUAGGAUUUUGUGGCUGGCCAGAUACACUGCGUCAUCUUUUUCAUCAUUUUUAGUUCAACUUUUUCAAGUGGUUUUAAUGAAGCUCAGUUAUGAAUCAGAAAAUUACAAAUUGAAAACUCAUGAAUCAAAAGAUUGUGAAUCCGAAAGCUAUAAGUCAAAAAGCCAUGAAUCAAAAGCUCAUGCCAGUUACUAUGGGAGAAUGAAUGUGAGAGAGGUUCUCAGAGAGGAUGGCCACCUCAGUGUAAAUGGGGAAGCGCUGUGUAAGUAUGGCUUCGUUUUCCUGUGGGCGUCGGUCGUGGAGUUGGUCCCACACGCUGUCAUGUUGGGUACUAGCAGUAGAGAAUGAACGGCCCGUGUGACAUGGCGGUCCUCACUGAUGACGACGGGCUGUUGGAGCUGCUGCUUAAGCCCUCAUCACAGAAGCUCAUAGCCACCAGAUCGCAUUUGCUUUGAUUGUUGACUGUCUUGUGUGUAAUUGAGUUUCCCAGUUUUUACAGACUGCCAUUGCUAUGCACAGUUGAGAUGGACAGAGUUUGCUUGUGAAUCCGCCACACUCACUGCCUGUCACCACACCCGCAGGCGACGACUGUAAGGGCAAGAGGCACCUCGACGCGCACACAGCCGCCCACUCGCAGUCGCCACGGCCGCCCGGUCGGGCAGGGACCCUCUGGCACAUCUGGGCAUGUGCAGGUUGUCUCUCGCCCCGUCUCCGUCUCAUCUCGCCCUGUCUCCGUCUCAUCUCGCCCUGUCACCAUGCUAUUUGUGUCUUGUGUGGUUUGUGCUUGGAAUUCAAGUGCUUUAAAGUCUUGCUGUAAAAACUGACAGGAAUAGUAUUAACUUUGGUUUAAAACAGGGUGAAUCUCUCUCGAAAAGCUCCCUCGUACAUUUUUUUUGGAGGCAGAGUCUCACUCUGUUGCCCAGGCUGGAGUGCAGUGGUGCAAUCUUGGCUCACUGCAGCCUCCACCUCUAGAGUUCAAGCAAUUCUCCUGCCACAGCCUCCUGAGUAGCUGGGACUACAGGCGCACACCACACCACCACACCCAGAUAAUUUUUUUGUAUUUUUAGUAGAGACAGGGUUUCACUGUGUUAGCCAGGAUGGUCUCGAUCUCCUGACCUAGUGAUCUGCCCGCCUCGGCCUCCCAAAGUGCUGUUGGCAUCUUAAAAAAAAAGUUAGUUUCAAAAAUAAUUGUCUCACCUGCUAAUGAAUAAACAUAAAGUCAUUGAUUUUUCUUUUAAAUUCUCAUAAGCCAUAUUUCUUUGCAUGUCAACCAUGUUGUAAUUACAUAGUUGCAGGAAUUCACAAGCAGGUGUUAAGUCACUGUGAGGAGAUAACCACCCACAGUGAGAACUGGAACAAAACUUACUUUGGGAGGCCGAGGCGGGUAGAUCACUUUGAGGCCGGGAGUUCAAGACCAGCCUGGCCAACAUAGCAAAACCCUGUCUCUUAAAUU